rnacentral:lncRNA from 1 species
ACUGGUUUUCAGAGCUUCUAACUGGUUUUUAAUCUGCACUAGGUGAUGGGAGACUUCACUUUUUGAUUUGUCUGGUGUAUUUUUUCAUGCAGAGUUUUACCUAAACCUUUUAUUUUUACUUCAAAUUAAUAUGACAAAAUCUGGCACAGCAAUAGAGCUUGGGCAACACUCUCUUCUCCAGCAUUACCCCUCCCAGAAAAAGGAAUUUAUUUCUCCCUCAUUUUGUCAUAGAUAGGCCUUUUAUGACAUUUUAGCUCUGGCCUCAUUACCUAGAUCUUCCUAUGAAUUACUCAUUGAUCUGCCCAGCUCUGCAUGCAGAUUUUAGAGGAUUUUAGAGGUCAGCAAAGCAUCCUGCUGAACAGAUGCAAACAUAGAGCCCCUCUCUAUACAGAAGGCAGAGAGCUACAUCAUUUGUUUACAGUCAGCACUGGCAUUAGGGUGUGCUGGAAAACAUCACAAUUGGAAGUGGCAUUUUAGUGCAUUUUGUGGACAGUUACUCAGUACAGAUUGCAGCAAAUUGGCCCAGCACAGAACUACCAGAACUACCUGAAGCAGAGAUAAUCCGGGAAUCACACUGAAGGACAAACCCCAUUUUCAUCAACUGUGAAUUAUACUAACCUCUGUUUGCCUCAUUUUGAGAGGUUUCUGGCUAGGUGAGUUGGAAAUGAAUAGCAAUGUGACCCAUUCAUGGUAUUAUUAGCUAUCGUGAUUUACUCAUGUAAUUCAAAAUCCCAGGUUUAGAAUCUGGGAAUAUCUCACAUUAUAUUUUCAUUCUGGCAAACUUCUAAAGAAAUAAGUGAAAGUAAACACACAUACAUAUUAAAUUAACAUGUUUUUGUUGCUAAGGUAACAAAUUUCAGAUUUUCUCUGCAGGAGUACCGCUCCAAAUGUGGCACUUAAUUCACAAGUAUUAAAGAAGCUGUUUUAUGCAGCCAUUUAUUGACAUGAACAGCACAGAGUUGAGUGAGUGGUUUAGUAGGAAAUUCAAAUUCAAUACAAAGACACUGAUGGCUCUGUGACAGGUGGAAUUUAGAGGGAAUCACAUUCAUAAGUAGCACUCUGUACUAAGGAGGCAAAAGAAUAGCAGUAAAGACAGCUUCCCUUUAUUUGCUUCUCUCUUCUGUCCAACUUUUCUCACCUUUAACUACAUCAUUUGACAUUUGUCAGGGCUUCAUUAGAAGGAUAAAAAAGUAUUUAGCAGUGCUGAGCUUUAAGAAACAAACAGUAUGCUUCAUUAAAUGUGAUGCCUUGGCCAUGAGGACGGACCAGAGGAAGAUGUUUUGAUAAUCUCAUAGCAACUGUGAGAAGAAGUGGCUGACAUUUCAAGGUGUUGCUUCUUUUAAAUGAAGAAUUAAUAUGUGUCACUCUUUGUAUUUGCAUACUGUAACUGGACAGAAUUUUAUAAGUUCUAAAUUUCACAGCCUUUGGAAAAAAGAUGGAGGAGAAAGAAUACAGAGAUGUCUUUAAUGAGCCAGAUGGAAACAGAAAAUGCUCAUGUAAGUAUCUCUUUUUAGAAGAUGAAGGACCGGCUAGGGACAGAUAAUAUAUUUUUUGGAAGAAGAAAAAAAACUAAUGUAUCUUUGUCAGGUAUAUUUUCUCUUUUCAUUUUUAUAGCUUGGGUGCAGAUUUAGUACUUUGUCUCCAAAUUCAGGAAUAAACUCGUUGUCAGACUGGUGAGUAAGGGUAUG